GAUGAACGCUGGCGGCGUGCCUAACACAUGCAAGUCGAACGGAGAUUACAGACGGAAGUUUUCGGAUGGAAGUUUGUAAUUCUUAGUGGCGGACGGGUGAGUAACGCGUGGGCAACCUGCCCUAUACAGGGGGAUAGCAGCUGGAAACGGCUGGUAAGACCGCAUAAGUCGGCGAGACCGCAUGGUUUUGUCGGGAAAUGAGCAAUCAGGUAUAGGAUGGGCCCGCGUCCGAUUAGCCAGUUGGCAGGGUAAAAGCCUACCAAAGCGACGAUCGGUAGCCGGACUGAGAGGUCGGACGGCCACAUUGGGACUGAGACACGGCCCAAACUCCUACGGGAGGCAGCAGUGGGGGAUAUUGCACAAUGGAGGAAACUCUGAUGCAGCGACGCCGCGUGAGUGAAGAAGUAUUUCGGUAUGUAAAGCUCUAUCAGCAGGGAAGAUGAUGACGGUACCUGACUAAGAAGCCCC
rnacentral:rRNA from 1 species